rnacentral:rRNA from 1 species
GAGUUUGAUCCUGGCUCAGAUUGAACGCUGGCGGCAUGCCUUACACAUGCAAGUCGAACGGCAGCAUGAUCUAGCUUGCUAGAUUGAUGGCGAGUGGCGAACGGGUGAGUAAUACAUCGGAACGUGCCCUGUAGUGGGGGAUAACUAGUCGAAAGAUUAGCUAAUACCGCAUACGACCUGAGGGUGAAAGUGGGGGACCGCAAGGCCUCAUGCUAUAGGAGCGGCCGAUGUCUGAUUAGCUAGUUGGUGGGGUAAAGGCCCACCAAGGCGACGAUCAGUAGCUGGUCUGAGAGGACGAUCAGCCACACUGGGACUGAGACACGGCCCAGACUCCUACGGGAGGCAGCAGUGGGGAAUUUUGGACAAUGGGCGAAAGACCUGAUCCAGCAAUGCCGCGUGUGUGAAGAAGGCCUCGUGUAGUA